rnacentral:RNase_P_RNA from 1 species
CCUGUCGCUUGUGGCAUAAGGCAACAAGAGGAAAGUCCGGGCAACAAAGAGUGCCAUAUUUCCUAACGGGAAGCUGUCGGUGACGGCAGAGUAGUGUGACAGAAAACAACCGCCGCUUUCGAGCGGUAAGGGUGAAAAGGUGAGGUAAGAGCUCACCGGGCGCGAUGGUGACAUUGCGUGCCGCACAUCUUAUGGGUUGCAAGGUCAAGUAUACCGGCAUUUAAGGAUUACUCGUCCAUUGUCGGGGGGUAGGCUGCUAGAGUCGUAUGGCGACAUACGGCGUAGAUAAAUGACAGGACGUGGCUUCGGUCGCGACAUAACCCGGCUUAUAGCUGUGCUGU